GAACAGACGAGGAGCUUGCUCCUCUGACGUUAGCGGCGGACGGGUGAGUAACACGUGGAUAACCUACCUAUAAGACUGGGAUAACUUCGGGAAACCGGAGCUAAUACCGGAUAAUAUAUUGAACCGCAUGGUUCAAUAGUGAAAGACGGUUUUGCUGUCACUUAUAGAUGGAUCCGCGCCGCAUUAGCUAGUUGGUAAGGUAACGGCUUACCAAGGCAACGAUGCGUAGCCGACCUGAGAGGGUGAUCGGCCACACUGGAACUGAGACACGGUCCAGACUCCUACGGGAGGCAGCAGUAGGGAAUCUUCCGCAAUGGGCGAAAGCCUGACGGAGCAACGCCGCGUGAGUGAUGAAGGUCUUCGGAUCGUAAAACUCUGUUAUUAGGGAAGAACAAAUGUGUAAGUAACUAUGCACGUCUUGACGGUACCUAAUCAGAAAGCCACGGCUAACUACGUGCCAGCAGCCGCGGUAAUACGUAGGUGGCAAGCGUUAUCCGGAAUUAUUGGGCGUAAAGCGCGCGUAGGCGGUUUUUUAAGUCUGAUGUGAAAGCCCACGGCUCAACCGUGGAGGGUCAUUGGAAACUGGAAAACUUGAGUGCAGAAGAGGAAAGUGGAAUUCCAUGUGUAGCGGUGAAAUGCGCAGAGAUAUGGAGGAACACCAGUGGCGAAGGCGACUUUCUGGUCUGUAACUGACGCUGAUGUGCGAAAGCGUGGGGAUCAAACA
rnacentral:rRNA from 1 species